GUGGCCUCACCAGGGCAGAGUAGAGGUGGAGGAUCAUCUCCCUCAGCUUGCUGGCCAUGCUCUUUUUAAUGCACCCCAGGAUGCUAUUGGCC
rnacentral:miRNA from 7 species